UUCGAAGCACUACUCCAGCACUUUGAAGGACAAGACAUGAAGUCACUCCUCGUGAUCCUGUUUGCAAUCACUGCUACUGCUAAAGGUUGGAACUUUUUGCUCGGUGGAUCAGGCUACAUUUGGGAGCCCAACGAGGUCCGUAGACCAGCGGGACGGGACUUCCUCGAUGAUUUGCCGGAGAAGUGUGGAAUCAAUUACCCGGAUAUCUGUCGAUGCAGACUCGACGACCCAGAAGCUGAUAACUUUUGCGAAGUAUUUUGCGUAUGGCGUUUUAAUAGAAACGCAGUGUGGGGCGCGUGCGGCGGGACAAACAACGACAACGCGAACUGCGUUUGUACACACCGGUAAACGGCCUCGAGAUCGUAAGAAGAGAGGGGCUCAUUUGCCGUCAUGACAUCAUGAAUAAACUUUAAUGGCCCCCUUUAA